UACGUAGGGUGCAAGCGUUGUCCGGAAUUAUUGGGCGUAAAGAGCUCGUAGGCGGUUUGUCGCGUCUGCUGUGAAAACUCGGGGCUUAACUCCGGGCCUGCAGUGGGUACGGGCAGACUAGAGUGCGGUAGGGGAGACUGGAAUUCCUGGUGUAGCGGUGAAAUGCGCAGAUAUCAGGAGGGAACACCAAUGGCGAAGGCAGCUCGCUGGGACGGUACUGACGCUGGAGGCGCGAAAGCAUGGGGAGCGAACAGG
rnacentral:rRNA from 1 species